ACACGACUUCGAGACGAAACACCACCAAGAAUGUGCAUAUUCUCAUGUUUUCCUACGUUUAUUUUAACAUUUUCUAGGUGAGCAAAAGACAGGAAGAAUCAGGCUUCCCAAAAGAGGAGUCACGUAGGUGUUCCUGCUUGGGUAGAUUUCUUCCAAGUGGUGAGUGACAGGCCCAGCAUCCUUGCCAACCUGGUCCUCUGCCAUCUUCAACGCCUGCCUCCCAAGGCCCUACUGCAGAGCAUAGGAAACUGCAGUCAGUAUCCUGUAAUGCCCUGUGAGUGGAAGGGAGUCUGAAAAGGCGCACGUGUGUAACUGAGCCCUUUGCUGUGCACCGGAAGCGAACGCGACGAUGGAAGUCAACUAUGGAAGUGCAGCGAAAAUCAAAGCUAGGCGCUCGGGCGUGUCCGACGCUCUGCGACCCCAUGGACUGCAGCCCC